rnacentral:tRNA from 1 species
ACUAUUUUGACAGAGAAAUGUGAUGAUUUUAGAAGUCAUAAAUAUAUAAUUUAUUAUAUAUAUAGUA